rnacentral:tRNA from 1 species
AGUUUUAUAUUCAAUAUAUGAUAUUAAAUUGCAAAUUUAAAGUAGUAAGAUUUACUAAAACUU